rnacentral:rRNA from 1 species
AUUGAACGCUGGCGGCAUGCCUUACACAUGCAAGUCGAACGGCAGCACGGGUGCUUGCACCUGGUGGCGAGUGGCGAACGGGUGAGUAAUACAUCGGAACGUACCUUAUCGUGGGGGAUAACGCAGCGAAAGCUGUGCUAAUACCGCAUACGCCCUGAGGGGGAAAGCGGGGGAUCGAAAGACCUCGCGCGAUUAGAGCGGCCGAUGCCUGAUUAGCUUGUUGGUGGGGUAAAAGCCCACCAAGGCGACGAUCAGUAGCUGGUCUGAGAGGACGAUCAGCCACACUAGGACUGAGACACGGCCCAGACUCCUACGGGAGGCAGCAGUGGGGAAUUUUGGACAAUGGGGGCAACCCUGAUCCAGCAAUGCCGCGUGAGUGAAGAAGGCCUUCGGGUUGUAAAGCUCUUUUGUCAGGGAAGAAACACCGGCUCUAACACAGUCCGGGAAUGACGGUACCUGAAGAAUAAGCACCGGCUAACUACGUGCCAGCAGCCGCGGUAACAC